UACGGAGGAUGCAAGCGUUAUCCGGAAUGAUUGGGCGUAAAGCGUCCGCAGGUAGCUGUGUAAGUCUGCUGUCAAAGAGCGAAGCUCAACUUCGUAAAGGCAGUGGAAACUACACGGCUAGAGUGCGUUCGGGGCAGAGGGAAUUCCUGGUGUAGCGGUGAAAUGCGUAGAGAUCAGGAAGAACACCGGUGGCGAAGGCGCUCUGCUAGGCCGCAACUGACACUGAGGGACGAAAGCUAGGGGAGCGAAUGGG
rnacentral:rRNA from 1 species